rnacentral:rRNA from 1 species
UACGUAGGGGGCUAGCGGUGUCCGGAUUUAUUGGGCGUAAAGAGCGUGUAGGCGGCCAGGUAGGCCUGGUGUGAAAACUCGAGGCUUAACCUCGAGAUGUCAUCGGAAACCAUCUGGCUAGAGUCCGGAAGAGGAGAGUGGAAUUCCUGGUGUAGCGGUGAAAUGCGCAGAUAUCAGGAGGAACACCGGUGGCGAAGGCGGGUCUCUGGGCCGAUACUGACGCUGAGGAGCGAAAGCGUGGGGAGCGAACAGG